UACGAAGGGGGCUAGCGUUGCUCGGAAUGACUGGGCGUAAAGGGCGCGUAGGCGGUUCGUACAGUCAGACGUGAAAUUCCCGGCUCAACCUGGGGGCUGCGUUUGAUACGUGCGGGCUUGAGUUCGGAAGAGGGUCGUGGAAUUCCCAGUGUAGAGGUGAAAUUCGUAGAUAUUGGAAGAACACCGGUGGCGAAGGCGGCGACCUGGUCCGAUACUGACGCUGAGGCGCGAAAGCGUGGGGAGCAAACAGG
rnacentral:rRNA from 1 species